CUGAAACCGUGUACGUACAAGCAGUGGGAGCACGCUUCGGCGUGUGACUGCGUACCUUUUGUAUAAUGGGUCAGCGACUUAUAUUCUGUAGCAAGGUUAACCGAAUAGGGGAGCCGAAGGGAAACCGAGUCUUAACUGGGCGUUAAGUUGCAGGGUAUAGACCCGAAACCCGGUGAUCUAGCCAUGGGCAGGUUGAAGGUUGGGUAACACUAACUGGAGGACCGAACCGACUAAUGUUGAAAAAUUAGCGGAUGACUUGUGGCUGGGGGUGAAAGGCCAAUCAAACCGGGAGAUAGCUGGUUCUCCCCGAAAGCUAUUUAGGUAGCGCCUCGUGAAUUCAUCUCCGGGGGUAGAGCACUGUUUCGGCAAGGGGGUCAUCCCGACUUACCAACCCGAUGCAAACUGCGAAUACCGGAGAAUGUUAUCACGGGAGACACACGGCGGGUGCUAACGUCCGUCGUGAAGAGGGAAACAACCCAGACCGCCAGCUAAGGUCCCAAAGUCAUGGUUAAGUGGGAAACGAUGUGGGAAGGCCCAGACAGCCAGGAUGUUGGCUUAGAAGCAGCCAUCAUUUAAAGAAAGCGUAAUAGCUCACUGGUCGAGUCGGCCUGCGCGGAAGAUGUAACGGGGCUAAACCAUGCACCGAAGCUGCGGCAGCGACACUAUGUGUUGUUGGGUAGGGGAGCGUUCUGUAAGCCUGUGAAGGUGUACUGUGAGGUAUGCUGGAGGUAUCAGAAGUGCGAAUGCUGACAUAAGUAACGAUAAAGCGGGUGAAAAGCCCGCUCGCCGGAAGACCAAGGGUUCCUGUCCAACGUUAAUCGGGGCAGGGUGAGUCGACCCCUAAGGCGAGGCCGAAAGGCGUAGUCGAUGGGAAACAGGUUAAUAUUCCUGUACUUGGUGUUACUGCGAAGGGGGGACGGAGAAGGCUAUGUUGGCCGGGCGACGGUUGUCCCGGUUUAAGCGUGUAGGCUGGUUUUCCAGGCAAAUCCGGAAAAUCAAGGCUGAGGCGUGAUGACGAGGCACUACGGUGCUGAAGCAACAAAUGCCCUGCUUCCAGGAAAAG
rnacentral:rRNA from 1 species